rnacentral:rRNA from 1 species
AACGAACGCUGGCGGCAGGCUUAACACAUGCAAGUCGAGCGCCCCGCAAGGGGAGCGGCAGACGGGUGAGUAACGCGUGGGAACGUACCCUUUGCUACGGAAUAGCUCCGGGAAACUGGAAUUAAUACCGUAUGUGCCCUACGGGGGAAAGGUUUAUCGGCAAAGGAUCGGCCCGCGUUGGAUUAGCUAGUUGGUGGGGUAAUGGCCUACCAAGGCGACGAUCCAUAGCUGGUCUGAGAGGAUGAUCAGCCACAUUGGGACUGAGACACGGCCCAAACUCCUACGGGAGGCAGCAGUAAGGAAUAUUGGUCAAUGGACGGAAGUCUGAUCCAGCCAUGCCGCGUGAGUGAUGAAGGCCUUAGGGUUGUAAAGCUCUUUCAGUGGGGACGAUAAUGACGGUACCCACAGAAGAAGCCCCGGCUAACUUCGUGCCAGCCGCCGCCGUAAGAC